rnacentral:rRNA from 1 species
GAUGAACGCUGGCGGCGUGCCUAAUACAUGCAAGUCGAGCGAACAGACGAGGAGCUUGCUCCUCUGACGUUAGCGGCGGACGGGUGAGUAACACGUGGAUAACCUACCUAUAAGACUGGGAUAACUUCGGGAAACCGGAGCUAAUACCGGAUAAUAUAUUGAAUCGCAUGGUUCAAUAGUGAAAGACGGUUUUGCUGUCACUUAUAGAUGGAUCCGCGCCGCAUUAGCUAGUUGGUAAGGUAACGGCUUACCAAGGCGACGAUGCGUAGCCGACCUGAGAGGGUGAUCGGCCACACUGGAACUGAGACACGGUCCAGACUCCUACGGGAGGCAGCAGUAGGGAAUCUUCCGCGAUGGGCGAAAGCUUGACGGAGCAACGCCGCGUGAGUGAUGAAGGUCUUCGGAUCGUAAAACUCUGUUAUUAGGGAAGAACAAAUGUGUAAGUAACUAUGCACGUCUUGACGGUACCUAAUCAGAAAGCCACGGCUAACUACGUG